rnacentral:misc_RNA from 1 species
GAAAUGCGAUAAGUAAUGUGAAUUGCAGAAUUCAGUGAAUCAUCGAAUCUUUGAACGCACCUUGCGCUCCUUGGUAUUCUUUGGAGCAUGCCUGUUUGAGUAUCAUGAAAUCUUCAAAGUAAAUCUUUUGUUAACUCAAUUGGUUUCUACUUUGGUAUUGGAGGUCUUUGCAGCUUCACACCUGCUCCUCUUUGUUCAUUAGCUGGAUCUCAGUGUUAUGCUUGGUUCCACUCGGCGUGAUAAGUUAUCUAUCGCUGAGGACACUGUAAAAGGUGGCCAAGGUAAAUGCAGAUGAACCGCUUCUAAUAGUCCAUUGACUUGGACAAUACUUUUAUGAUCUGAUCUCAAAUCAAGUAGGACUACCCGCUGAACUUAAGC